ACCUGGGUGGCUCAGUCGGUUGAGCGUCCGACUUCGGCUCAGAUCAUGAUCUCACAGUUUGUGGGUUCGAGCCCCACGUCAGGCU
rnacentral:tRNA from 1 species